GUACUUCUCUAUGACUUUCAGUCAAGUGAGAAAAAUGCGUCAAGGAACCUACCCCGACAGCUUGGCCUGCUCUCUCAGAUUUUAGAAAUGUGAGGGAGGGUCCCUGACACACACCUGGAAAAGUCUAUAGUCUCUCAGAACCCAGCCACCAUCUUGUGAGGAAGCUUCCCACGUGGAGAGGGCCUAAGGACUUCUGACAGCAGCCAAAACCGACUUACCAGCUCUGUGAGCGAACCACCUUGGAAGUCUGUCCUCCAGACCAAGUGAAGCCUUCAGAUGACUGUAGUCACACCUAACAUCUGACUAUGACCUCACGAGGGACCCCUAACCAGAACCACUCGGCUAAACUACUGCCGGAUUCACAACCCACAGAAACCAUGAAAGACAUAAAUGGUCAUUGCCAUCUUAACCCGCUAAGUUUUGCAGUGAUUUUUUUUAUGCAGCUUUAGAGAACAAAGGAGAGGAGUGCAACAGAAAGGGGCCAUCCCAGAACCCUCAAAGGUGUGGGGCCUAGGACAGGGCCUCUUUUGCCUGGAUUUAGGGCCGUACUGAGGAAAGGAUAUGGAUUUUAUUUCAGUAGCUGGGUAUUUCCUAGGGAGGGAUGAGCUUAUUUAUACAAAAGAGGAACUUGCAGGACUGAGCAGGUGUUGGAGAUCAGGAAAUUUUUUUAUAAAAGCUGUAACAAAGCAGCCCUUUAUCUGGAGUAUACAAAGAAAUGAAAAUCUAAUGAGACCAUUUAUUUGCUUGAUUGUGUAAACACACAAAAAUGUACACAUCUUGGAAUAGUCACAGCGGAAGGAGAUCUGCUUAAGCCAGUGAUGCCGUCUGUCACUUUUCAAAAAUGCCUGUGAAACUUCUCUUUCGGAAUUGCCCACAAAGCUGGAUUAUGAGCUUCCCAUGAAACCAGACUCAUCACUCAAGCUGCGACUUGGUUUGUGACCCCAGACAGCAUUUCCCAGCUUGAUCACCCAACCUACUCAGCAGACUUUGCUCUGAAUGACUUAGAACUGUUUCCAAAACUCACACCCGCCCUUGGAGGAUACAUGCUGUCAGACUUAUCUUUCUGCCACACCUCGGAUCAUGCGCUUCAGUGCCUCUCGGCUGCAUAGAGAAUUAAGCUCCAACAUGUCAGCUAGAUUUUCAGAACUUUAUACAACAUGCAGCCCCCACCUAGCUUUGCAGUUCUAUCAUCCCAGAACACACGAUGCCCUCUCUACUUACUGAUGAUAGGUACCAUUUACUGAGCCCUUAUUAUGUGCCCCACACUGUGCUAAGAGCUUAAUAUAAUCUCUCAUUUUGUCCUUAUAUGACUUUGUAAGAUAAAUGUUAUCUCUAUAGUAUAAAUAAUAAUAAAACAGGGGUCACUAACACUUUGUACAGCAGUUACAAUGUGCUAAACCACCGUCCAAUAGAAAUAUGAGCCAUAUUUGUCAUUUUAAUUUUCUAAUUGCCACACUAAAAAAGUAAAAACUAGGUGAAAUUGAUUUUAAUAAAGUAUUUUAUCAAUGAGCAUUUAAUCAAUAUAAAAACUUUUUAAUGAUAUAUAUCAUAUUCUUUUUUUGUGUGUAUUAAAUCUUUGAAAUCCAUUGUGUAUUUUACACCUACAGCACGUCUCAAUUUGGACACUAAAUUUUUAUUGGAAAUACUUGAUCUAUAUUUAAAUAUUGUAAAAAGUACAGUGAAAAAAGUAGAUUCACAUACCCAAGUUGUUCCAAACAUGCUUAAAAGAUUUCCAAUACCUGAAUCAAGUACCAAAUAAUCAUUUUUUUCUAUGCUUAUCCCUAUUGACAAAACUGAUUCAAUUUUAAACUUUUAACUUCACUUUCAAUCAAUUAAAAUUAAAUAAAAUUAAAAAUUUAGUUUCUCAGUUGCACUAGCCACUUACCAAGUGCUCAUGUGGUUAGUGGCUGCCAUGUUGGGCAAUGCAACUCUAGGCACUUUACUACUGUCAACACAAACGUUUGAGGUAGCUUCAUUUUACAGAUAAAGAAAUAGAGGCAUAGAGAAGUAGUAACUUGCACUAGUAUACACAGUUAAUAAGCCGAUGUUCAGAAUGGUUGAUUUACCUUAGCUAGUAAAGGUUGGAAACAGGAUUUGAACUCAGGAUUGUUUGUGUCCAAAGUCUAAAUUCUUAUCCACUGUGCUAGUCUGCUCUACAGACUUAAUUUCUCACUAUUCUCCUAAAAUCCUUACUUUCUUGAUUCUGGUCUUUUUAUCAGAUUGUUUCCUCUGUCUAGAAUGCCAUGGAAGGCCCAUUUUGAAUGUUAUUCAUUCAUUCAGACAGUCAUUCAGUCAAUCACUUUUUCAACAAAUAUUGCCAGCCGUGUUUCAAAUAUCUCCCACGUAAAAUACAGCCGUGAUCAAGACAGACGUCCCCCCUGCCCGCACAGAGCUUCAAUUCUGCCGUAACGCUUCUCACACUUCGGUCUCAGGAUUCUGUAACACUCUGAACGUUAUUGAGGACCCGAAGGGCUUUUGAUUAUGUGAGUUAUAGCUGCCAAUCUUUAUUGUACUAGAAAUUAAAACUAGGAAAUUGUAAAAAUAUUCAUUCAUUCAAAAAUAACAUGAUGAACACAUUACAUGUAAACAUAAAUAAUGUAUAGCUGAAAAGACAACUAUAUUUUCCAGAACAAAAAAUAAGAGUAGCAUUGUUUUAUAAUUUUGCUAAUCUCUUUAAUGUGUGACCUAAUAAAAGGCAGCUGGGUUCUCA
ensembl:lncRNA